UACGAAGGGUGCAAGCGUUACUCGGAAUUACUGGGCGUAAAGCGUGCGUAGGUGGUUUUUUAAGUCCGUUGUGAAAGCCCUGGGCUCAACCUGGGAAUGGCAGUGGAUACUGGAAAGCUAGAGUGCGGUAGAGGGUAGUGGAAUUCCCGGUGUAGCAGUGAAAUGCGUAGAGAUCGGGAGGAACACCAGUGGCGAAGGCGGCCUGCUGGGCUGCACCUGACGCUGAACCGCGAAAGCCAGGGGAGCGAACGGG
rnacentral:rRNA from 1 species